CAAGAAGUAACAGUCGUGGUACGAUUAAAUCAAGUAAGCUGAAGUUUGGAAAUGGGAAGAGAAAGGGCUCGCGAUCGCAACGAUGCCCACGAAGAGUUUUAAAAAAAUCAAAAAGUUUUCAUCAUACUAGACAUGAAUCCAUUAUAAAGAAGUUACGAAGUAUAUCUUUUCUAAAGUCAGAAGUAGAAUUAAAGAAUAUUUUACCAACAAGAAGUAAAAACGGACAUUUAAAAAUUUCAGUAAAGAAAAAAUGCAAGCAACAUCCACCACGUACUGUUUUGAAAAAAGUUAGAAGUAUAAAUCGUGUAAAACAUGAAUCAAUUUUGAAAAAAAUGAGAAGCAUACCGUUUUUACAAUCAGAAGUAGAAUUAAAGAACAUUUUACCUACAGGGAAUAAUAA